CUACUAGUCCCUUCAUCCGGAAAUACUUGUCCGAGGAAUAGAUGUAUCUAAAUAUAUUUUAGUUCUGAUACAUCCAUUUAUAUCCAGUUUUAUGAAAGUAUUUUCGGAUGGAGGGAGUAUAAA
rnacentral:pre_miRNA from 1 species